rnacentral:rRNA from 1 species
UACGGGGGGGGGCAAGCGUUGUUCGGAAUUACUGGGCGUAAAGGGCGCGUAGGCGGCCAAUCAAGUCCGACGUGAAAUUCCCCGGCUCAACCGGGGGCCUGCGUCGGAUACUGCUUGGCUUGAGUCCCGGAGAGGGUAGUGGAAUUCCCAGUGUAGCGGUGAAAUGCGUAGAUACUGGGAGGAACACCGGUGGCGAAGGCGGCUACCUGGACGGGUACUGACGGCUGAGGCGCGAAAGCUAGGGGAGCAAACAGG